CCUACGGGUGGCAGCAGUGAGGAAUAUUGGUCAAUGGACGAGAGUCUGAACCAGCCAAGUAGCGUGAAGGAUGACUGCCCUAUGGGUUGUAAACUUCUUUUAUAUGGGAAUAAAACGUUCCACGUGUGGGAUUUUGUAUGUACCAUAUGAAUAAGGAUCGGCUAACUCCGUGCCAGCAGCCGCGGUAAUACGGAGGAUCCGAGCGUUAUCCGGAUUUAUUGGGUUUAAAGGGAGCGUAGGUGGCAUGUUAAGUCAGUUGUGAAAGUUUGCGGCUCAACCGUAAAAUUGCAGUUGAAACUGGCAGUCUUGAGUACAGUAGAGGUGGGCGGAAUGCGUGGUGUAGCGGUGAAAUGCUUAGAUAUUACGAAGAACUCCGAUUGCGAAGGCAGUUCACUGGACUGCAACUGACACUGAGGCUCGAAAGUGUGGGUAUCAAACAGGAUUAGAUACCCGUGUAGUC
rnacentral:rRNA from 1 species